GGGGGUAUAGCUCAGCUGGCAGAGCAGCAGCCUUUUAAGCUGUUGGUCGAAGGUUCGAAUCCUUCUACCCUCA
rnacentral:tRNA from 1 species